UGGAAAUGCAUUUGGGUGGGUCAUCGUGCCGGAGCCAUUAGCUGGAAGGCCGCCGGCGACAAAGAAUAUCGCCCAUAAAAGACUAGCCGUUGAGAGAAUGAUAACGGCAAAGAAAAUUCAAAUGGGAGCGUGAAAGAGCGUUUGAAUUUCAAUAUAUAUAUAUAUAUAUAUAUAUAUAUAUAUAUAUAUAAGCAUUUGAAUUUCAUUUCGUUACAGACAUUUUUUCUUUCUCUGAUUGCCCCUUUCUCUCGAUGUUCUGUUUUGUGAUUGUCCGUUUCUGUCAAUGUUCUGUUCUUUCUCUAUGUUUUCUUCAAAAAAAUUUAAAUGUUUGCUUUGUUUUCAUUUUUCAUUUUUCUGGUUUUCAGCGUGCACGCUGGUCUGUCUGUCUUUUUUUUGGUAUUGCAUUUUUCUAGCAGAGCAGAGGAAGAGGCAGAGCAACCGAGGGCAAAUUCUUCUUACAGGCAUGAGAUGCAGAACCCAGCAAGUGUUCAUAUAACUGAUGCAAAGAGGAAGAAAUCGGAAGUUCCUUAUGACCGGCUUUGUUUAUAGCAAGUAGCUGCUCUAGAAGGAAACCAUAUUUUCAAAACAGCUAACCCAGUGUUUGAAUUCUCUGUGUUCUCAGGCAAUGAGUUGAUCUUCUCCUACACAGCUAACCAAUUUGGAUUUGCUAUGAAGCGCAGAUCUCAUGGAGAGGUUAGGUUCAACUCUUUAUAUGGUAGCUUGGUUUUCAGUAUCCGGUGAGCAGAUACGAAAUCGUUGAGGACUUGGAUGUGCUAUCUGUACCAUGACUGUAAUCCUGUGGUUGUGCAUGGAGAUGUGCACCAAUGUACUAAUGGACAGCUACAUGGAAGCUCGGAUGUCUGAUUUUGCUUAGCCAAACUCAUGCAGAGGGAAGCCACCAUGUGCUCUAGCGCGUACAUUGCACCAGCCACAUCGAAGCUCGGAUGUCUGAUUUUUCUUAGCCAGAGUCAUGCAGAGGGAAGCCACCAUGUGCUCUAGCGCGUACAUUGCACCAGGUUCACAUAGACAUAUGCUCAUAUCCCUGAAAACUCCAAAAUACAAAUAUUUGAAAAGAUUUUGAUGCAAACUCUAGAAGUUCAUUUUUUCCUUUCAAAACCUAUUUUUAACCUGGGGGCAAAAAAUAGGGUGGGAGACAUGUUGCAGCCAAAAACCAGCAGUAUGAUAAGAAGGAUCCUGAGCAACUUUUUGAAUUAGUUGUUUUUCAUCAUUCGGUAUUCAAAACAGCAAGAGAUGGAAUUAGGCUUGCAUUAUUUCUUUAGUUGUUUUGGUCAAGCAUUUUGACUUGAUAGCAUUGUAAAAUGUACAAAUAUAAUGUUUAAUAAAAAAAGAAUGGUCAAUAGGCCAAAGCCAUUCUUUAAGGUUUGUUUCUCA